CCCGCCAUAGUUUAUAAAAACAUCGACCUGCAAAAUCGAAAAAGGAGAAUCUCCUGGUGUGU
rnacentral:tRNA from 1 species